ACGCUCGACACCUACGGGAGGCAGCAGUCGGGAAUAUUGCGCAAUGGAGGAAACUCUGACGCAGUGACGCCGCGUAUAGGAAGAAGGUUUUCGGAUUGUAAACUAUUGUCGUUAGGGAAGAAAAAGGACAGUACCUAAGGAGGAAGCUCCGGCUAACUACGUGCCAACAGCCGCGGUAAUCUGAGCGGGCUGGCAAGGC
rnacentral:rRNA from 1 species